AUGGCUGUCGUCAGCUCGUGUCGUGAGAUGUUGGGUUAAGUCCCGCAACGAGCGCAACCCUCACCCAAUGUUGCCAGCGUAAAGUCGGGAACUCUUUGGGAACUGCCCAUGUAAGUGGGAGGAAGGUGGGGAUGACGUCAAAUCGGCAUGGCCCUUACACCCUGGGCUUGACACAUGCUACAAUGGCCGUUAAACAGAGCGACGCGAUACCGCGAGGUGGAGCCAAUCGCAAAAAUACGGUCUCAGUUCAGAUUGCAGGCUGCAACUCGCCUGCAUGAAGUCGGAAUCGCUAGUAACCGCAGGUCAGCUAAACUGCGGUGAAUACGUUCCCGGGCCUUGUACACACUGCCCGUCAAGUCACCUGAGUUGUCUGCACCCGAAGCCGAUGGCCUAACCGCAAGGAAGGAGUCGUCUAAGGUGUGGGGAGCGAGGGGGACUAAGCCGUAACAAGGUAGCCGUACCGGAAGGUGCGGCUGGAUCACCUCCUUUCUAAGGAGUCAAUAUCUCGACCGUUCCGGUCGAGGACUCCCAGUCGAUCACUGGUUAUUCGGCGCCCAUCCAUUCUCGGCGGCCGUCGCGUCCGACUCGUUCCCCUCGUGGGAGCGGCCCGGGCCGGCCCCGUGUACCGAGGGUGUGUGAUCGUCGGACCUCACUGUUCCGUUUUGAGGGAGCGACUCUGUCUUGUCGCUGCUUCCGUGAAGUCGACGGCGUCCGCGCUCGUCGACCGCUCGCGCACUUCGUCCGGCCGCCUGUUCCAAAGGGCGGCAGCGCGCGCCCCUUGAGAAUUCCAUAGCGAGCACGAGCAUCUUUGUUCUCCAAGCUACAAAGAGCCAACGGUGGAUGCCUUGGCGCCUGAAGCCUAAGAAGGACGUGGGAGGCUGCGAAAAGCCACGGGGAGCUGCCGACCAAGCUUCGAUCCGUGGAUGUCCGAAUGGGGAAACCCGG
rnacentral:sRNA from 1 species